CGCACCUUGCACUCUUUGGUAUUCCGAAGAGUACGCCUGUUCGAGCGUCAUGAAAUUCUCAAGUCACCUAUUUACUUAGGUUGAUUUGGACUUGGAUCUUUGCAACUGAAACAAUGUUGCUGGUCUUAAAAUUAUUAGUCUAUGGGGAGUAUCGAGACUACUCGACGUGAUAAUUUUCAUCGUUGGGGAAACUGAUGCUUCUAAGGCUUUCUAACCGUCAUUCAUGACAAAGCUGAUUUCUAAUCUGACCUCGAAUCAGGUGGGACUACCCGCUGAACUUAA
rnacentral:misc_RNA from 1 species